GGGUGCGUGACUGCAUAGGGCACAACGCAGGUUAAAGCAAAGCAUUGGUCGGGCCGCCAAUG
rnacentral:ncRNA from 12 species